GUGGUGAGGAGCCGCCGUGAGCGCACAGCGCGAGCCUGCCAAGCGUGCGCCCACUUCCCGGAGGUGCGGACCUGUGAGCAGGCUUGCAGGCAUCUCCUGUAUGUCACACAUCCAAGGAGGAAACGCACCUGUGUGCAUCAGAGGGGGCUCUCCGUAGACUUCUCUCUUCCCACUGCACAGAGCUGCAGAGUUCUCUGGCAAUAUCUGAAGCAUUUUAAGCAAGUCUUCAAUCCAUUUCUACUGAGGAGUAUUGGAUGUGCCCCGGGGAGAGAAAGCUUGAGGCUGGUCACCUGGCCCACAGUGAGUCCUCGUAUUGAUGCUGGAUGGACAGAGUGGACGCAAUGAUGCCCCAGCCUGACACUUCAUGACUCCAUGGCUGUGAUGCUUGGGCCGCACCAGAGAUUCCAAGACGGGAGAGUCCAUCCAUCCUUCAGCUGAAGUGAAAUCUUGGUCUGCAGCGGGGAGGGGAGAGAGCGGAAGAGGAAGCACAGAGAAGGAACAGUAUGUGAAGCCAGUUCACAUCUCAGUAUGAAGAAACCCACCAGGCUCAAAUUCACUGGAAACCCAAUCUGAAGUAUUACUGUAUCCCCAGCAACCACAGCAACCAUAACCAGCACCAUCCCGACCACCACCACUGCUACCAGCAUGUAUCACGAGCUCACCGUGGACCACAUCUGGUGCCCCCAUGGCUGGAAUCCAUCGGUGUUCAAAUCCCGAGGCUCCAUAUAAACACUGAGUACCUUGAGGGCAGGAGGUGAGUUUUAUUCAUCUAUGAAUCAGCCUGCAAUUGUCCCUAAGGAAGGUCUACGCACUCUUCUCUCUAUGGCUGUGGAACUGAUGCAAAGCUGCGCAGUAUCUGAGGUAAUGGCUGAAAAUGGACCGCAGUUCCUCAGCACCGAGUCGGGUCCUGCUGCAGGUCGAUGGUCCCCUCUGCCCGGAAAGUCCAGAAGCCCGGGAGCCAGCCACUGCCCUGAGCCCUAGCGGGACCUUGCACAGGUCGGCCGACCUCCAGUGGCCGGUUCCAAAACCGCAUCAGCUUCCUCUUCUCAGCUUCCGCUCUGCCACCCUCCUCCCCAAGACGCCCCAGAACUGAAGACUGGGUGUGCUUUAGAGCCAGUCCACCUGAACCGUAAACAUGACAUUUUUCUGCAUGAACUUUCAGAUACCACCCGGUUCCACUUUCCAAGCUGGGCUACCAAACCCCAGGGGUAUCAGCAGUGGCCUCUUGCAAGGAACUCUCUACCCGCCGGCCAUAGCACGGCCAGCACUGCAGUGAGGACAUGAGGGGUAAGAGGGAGCUGUACAGACGGGUCACCUACGAGGGACAGCAGA